rnacentral:ncRNA from 1 species
GAUUUAUUUUAUUCUUGUUUAGGAAUUUGCUUAAAUUUAACUUUAUAUGUAGAUGGUUGUUUAGCUUUAUCUAGAAGAUGCGUUGAUUUUUAAUCAGUAAAUAGAAUUAGUAGUUUGGGAGUUCAAUAGCUAGUUAUAAUAUUAGUAUUGAUAAAAUAUGUGCCAGCAUUCGCGGUUAUACAUAAAAUACUAGUGAAUUUAAUCAGUAAAUAUAGUUGUUUCGUGGAAUGAAUAUAAGCUGAGGGUUUUUGAGUGAAAUCUAAUCUUUCGUGAAUUAUUGAUGAAUAUGGAAGAGGCUAUGAAAUUUAAUUAAAUAAACUAGGAUUAGAUACCCUAUUAUUUUAAAUGUAAAGUUAUUAAAACUAGAGUAGUAUUAGUUAUGAUCUUGAAACUUAAAGAAUUUGGCGGUAUUUUAGUCUAUUUAGAGGAAUCUGUCCCUUAAUCGAUAGUCCACGUUGAACCUUACUUAAUCUAAGGUAUGUAUAUCGCCGUUGUUGAAAAUCUUAUUAGGGUAAAUUUCUUGAUUUCUUAUUAGUAAAUAUUUCAGGUCAAGGUGCAGCUUAUGAUCAAGUGGAGAUGGAUUACAAUAUUAUUAAAUAAACGGAUUUUUGAGUAAAGAAUUGAAAUGAAGGAGGAUUUAACUGUAAAUUUGUGAAGAUUGUCAAAUUGAUAAAAGCUCUAAGAUGUGCACACAUCGCCCGUCACUCUCGUAAUUAAGAUGAGAUAAGUCGUAACAAAGUAGGUGUACCGGAAGGUGUAGCUAGAAUGUC